GGUUUGUGCCAGAUGUUGGAACAUUCAAUUCUUUGGCAGAGGCUGUAUGUAAAACUGGGGAAAUCGACUUUUGCAUUGACCUUUUCAAUGAUGUUUGUAGAUUGGGGCUUUGUCCUGAUACUGAGACUUAUAAGAUUGUCAUAACUGCUGCAGCAAAGGCUGGUAGGAUUGAUGAGGCAUUUCAGAUUCUUCAUAGGUCCAUUGAAGCUGGACAUCGG
rnacentral:misc_RNA from 1 species